GAGGAAGUCUGGUGAUGAAGAGGGGCAGGAAAACAGAGACGUGGCCAACUAGAGGAGGCUCCUCAGAGGCUGCUGGGAUGAGGAGUGACAAAAGACCUGCAGCAGUGGCAAGCUAAGUGAGAAGGGAUAAAUGUCCCAUGGAAGUCACUUGGUAUGGUAAUGGCAAAAGAUCUCUGAAUGCAACAAGGUUUAGUGCUCAUUCUUAAGAAGUUUUGUGUAUUGUCCUAGAUAUUGAACAUUGCUGCUGCUCCCAAAACAUUCCUACUAACAAACAUCUUACGUAUGGACUGUUUGAGGUAUUGAGAUAAAAGAGAAUGACUUCUGUUUUGAGGACUGUGUGAGGAGUAGAGAAGAGACCAGGUGCCUUGAGAAAUACAGAAGGGAGAUGAGAAGGAAGGAGGCCUGAGUUUCUCAAACCCUGCACAUUCCCCAGAAAUGACUAUUUUCAGGACUGACCGUUGGCUAGUUCUUGGGAAGCAAAUGCUGAGUUUUGGAAUGUUCUGCCUGGGAAGAGUGUUUUUGUACGGCUGAGGCCUUACGCCACAUGGCACCGGUUGAACAGCUUGUUAAUGCUAGCAAUGUGAUUUAUGUUGAAUGCCUAAUUCUGCUCUGGAGAACUGGAAUCUGAGUAUCUGAGUUCAGCCAUAUAAAUGCUUCAGGUCUGCAGGACUGGCUCCCAACAAGAACCCUGGACACAAAGGCUCAGGAAAAGCAGUUGAAAUACCAUUAGUUAACAGAUUGCCCAAUGAAGUCGAUGACAACUGUGAUAACAAGUUACUCACUAUCACAGCGUCUCCAAGAGAUGAACAGUGGAUGAUGCUUCCAAAGCACAGAUGUCCCUCUCCUCCUCAACCUUCUCUCCCCAGAAAGAUGUCAACACUGUGGAGAUUGUGCUAUGAAGAUACCUGGUGUGGCAUUGCAAUAGAUGAAAUAUUAAGGGCAAUUCAACAAUUUUCUGAACAAAUACAUGGAUUUAACUUGAAGUUGAAUUUAAUUUGACUUCAAGAAAAAUUAUAUUUCUGGUCCUCCUAUGAUCAUGCACUAAGAAUUAUUUAACUGCAGAUACAAUUGUUACCUUUAGAGCUAGAAGGCCUCAUUUUAGAAUUAAAAUGAAUGGCAACCCAGACAGAUAAAGUCGAGUCGUGAUCAUCCCACUGCGGAGGCAGAGCCAGUGCUGGCCAUCCCCCGACCACCCCAACACACUCCAGGUCUCACACAUUUAAUCUCUCUCUCUGCCAAGGGAAUUUUUUCUUUCCAUUUAUUCUUAGAAACAACUAAGGGAGUUUUAAGUUAAAUACAUGCUGCCAAAUUGAAUCCAAGGAAACUAAAGUCAAAUAUAUUAGCAAACACUUAAUGUCCUCUCCAUUUUGACAUUUCUCCCUCAAUUCCUAUUUCUGAGUAAAGGCUGUUCAGAUGAAUAAAAACAUAUUUUCAGAAAUCUGAGCUCAUAAGACCUAUAGGUCUGUGAAGUCACAGACCGUGCACUGUCAGCAGUCAGCAAUUCUGCUGGGUUGAAUUGGCAUGUUUCAA
rnacentral:lncRNA from 1 species